rnacentral:rRNA from 1 species
AUGAACGCUAGCUACAGGCUUAACACAUGCAAGUCGAGGGGCAGCAUGGACCCAGUUUUGCUGGGUUUGAUGGCGACCGGCGCACGGGUGAGUAACGCGUAUCCAACCUGCCCUUUACUCCGGGAUAGUCUCCUGAAAGGGAGUUUAAUACCGGAUGUGUUUGUCUUUCCGCAUGGGAGCGACAAAUAAAGAUUGAUUGGUAAAGGAUGGGGAUGCGUCCCAUUAGCUUGUUGGCGGGGUAACGGCCCACCAAGGCGACGAUGGGUAGGGGUUCUGAGAGGAAGGUCCCCCACAUUGGAACUGAGACACGGUCCAAACUCCUACGGGAGGCAGCAGUGAGGAAUAUUGGUCAAUGGGCGGGAGCCUGAACCAGCCAAGUAGCGUGAAGGAUGACGGCCCUACGGGUUGUAAACUUCUUUUAUAAGGGAAUAAAGUUCGCCACGUGUGGUGUUUUGUAUGUACCUUAUGAAUAAGCAUCGGCUAAUUCCGUGCCAGCAGCCGCGGUAAUACGGAAGAUGCGAGCGUUAUCCGGAUUUAUUGGGUUUAAAGGGAGCGUAGGCGGGCUUUUAAGUCAGCGGUCAAAUGCCACGGCUCAACCGUGGCCAGCCGUUGAAACUGCAAGCCUUGAGUCUGCACAGGGCACAUGGAAUUCGUGGUGUAGCGGUGAAAUGCUUAGAUAUCACGAAGAACUCCGAUCGCGAAGGCAUUGUGCCGGGGCAGCACUGACGCUGAGGCUCGAAAGUGCGGGUAUCAAACAGGAUUAGAUACCCUGGUAGUCCGCACGGUAAACGAUGAAUGCUCGCUAUGGGCGAUACAAUGUCCGUGGCCAAGCGAAAGCGUUAAGCAUUCCACCUGGGGAGUACGCCGGCAACGGUGAAACUCAAAGGAAUUGACGGGGGCCCGCACAAGCGGUGGAGCAUGUGGUUUAAUUCGAUGGUACGCGAGGAACCUUACCUGGGUUUGACAUGCACGGUGAUACCGGGGAGAUCCGGGGGUCCAGCAAUGGAACCGUGCACAGGUGCUGCAUGGCUGUCGUCAGCUCGUGCCGUGAGGUGUCGGCUUAAGUGCCAUAACGAGCGCAACCCUUCUCCCCAGUUGCCAUCGGGUAAUGCCGGGCCCUCUGGGGACACUGCCAUCGUAAGAUGCGAGGAAGGUGGGGAUGACGUCAAAUCAGCACGGCCCUUACGUCCGGGGCCACACACGUGUUACAAUGGGGGGUACAGAGGGCCGCUGUCCGGUGACGGUCGGCCAAUCCCUAAAACCCCUCUCAGUUCGGACUGGAGUCUGCAACCCGACUCCACGAAGCUGGAUUCGCUAGUAAUCGCGCAUCAGCCAUGGCGCGGUGAAUACGUUCCCGGGCCUUGUACACACCGCCCGUCAAGCCAUGAAAGCCGGGGGUGCCUGAAGUCCGUGACCGCGAGGGUCGGCCUAGGGUAAAACUGGUGAUUGGGGCU